UUGGCUGCUAUGUGCUUUGAAUGCAGAGCUCAAAAAGACAACGUGCUCCAAACCAAAGGAGGUGUGACUGUUAGUGAGGGAGAGACAGUAACACUGGACUGUCACUAUAACACCAGUGGCUCAAAUACAUAUCUUUACUGGUACAGACAGGCUGCAGACGACAAGCCCACAUUCAUUCUGAGCCGCUUUUCUGUUGGAUCAGGGAACACAGCGGACGGGUUCAAGGAGAGAUUUGAUUCCAGCCUGGAUUCCAGCUCAAGAUCAGUUCCUCUGAAGAUCCAGAGUCUGCAGCUGUCUGACUCUGCUGUGUACUACUGUGCUCUGAGGCCCACAGUGACAGGAAACUGCAAGACGUACUACAAAAACCUUUGGAGCGUAUAUCAAGAAUCCAGAGACAAAACAAUGUUAAACCACAUCCACUAG